rnacentral:rRNA from 1 species
AGAUUAAGUUAUUAAGGGCGCACGGUGGAUGCCUUGGCACUAGAAGCCGAUGAAGGACGUUACUAACGACGAUAUGCUUUGGGGAGCUGUAAGUAAGCUUUGAUCCAGAGAUUUCCGAAUGGGGAAACCCAGCAUGAGUUAUGUCAUGUUAUCGAUAUGUGAAUACAUAGCAUAUCAGAAGGCACACCCGGAGAACUGAAACAUCUUAGUACCCGGAGGAAGAGAAAGAAAAUUCGAUUCCCUUAGUAGCGGCGAGCGAAACGGGAAGAGCCCAAACCAACAAGCUUGCUUGUUGGGGUUGUAGGACACUCUAUACGGAGUUACAAAGGACGACAUUAGACGAAUCAUCUGGAAAGAUGAAUCAAAGAAGGUAAUAAUCCUGUAGUCGAAAAUGUUGUCUCUCUUGAGUGGAUCCUGAGUACGACGGAACACGUGAAAUUCCGUCGGAAUCUGGGAGGACCAUCUCCUAAGGCUAAAUACUCUCUAGUGACCGAUAGUGAACCAGUACCGUGAGGGAAAGGUGAAAAGCACCCCGGAAGGGGAGUGAAAUAGAACCUGAAACCGUGUGCUUACAAGUAGUCAGAGCCCGUUAAUGGGUGAUGGCGUGCCUUUUGUAGAAUGAACCGGCGAGUUACGAUUUGAUGCAAGGUUAAGCAGUAAAUGUGGAGCCGUAGCGAAAGCGAGUCUGAAUAGGGCGUUUAGUAUUUGGUCGUAGACCCGAAACCAGGUGAUCUACCCUUGGUCAGGUUGAAGUUCAGGUAACACUGAAUGGAGGACCGAACCGACUUACGUUGAAAAGUGAGCGGAUGAACUGAGGGUAGCGGAGAAAUUCCAAUCGAACCUGGAUAUAGCUGGUUCUCUCCGAAAUAGCUUUAGGGCUAGCCUCAAGUGAUGAUUAUUGGAGGUAGAGCACUGUUUGGACGAGGGGCCCCUCUCGGGUUACCGAAUUCAGACAAACUCCGAAUGCCAAUUAAUUUAACUUGGGAGUCAGAACAUGGGUGAUAAGGUCCGUGUUCGAAAGGGAAACAGCCCAGACCACCAGCUAAGGUCCCAAAAUAUAUGUUAAGUGGAAAAGGAUGUGGCGUUGCCCAGACAACUAGGAUGUUGGCUUAGAAGCAGCCAUCAUUUAAAGAGUGCGUAAUAGCUCACUAGUCGAGUGACACUGCGCCGAAAAUGUACCGGGGCUAAACAUAUUACCGAAGCUGUGGAUUGUCCUUUGGACAAUGGUAGGAGAGCGUUCUAAGGGCGUUGAAGCAUGAUCGUAAGGACAUGUGGAGCGCUUAGAAGUGAGAAUGCCGGUGUGAGUAGCGAAAGACGGGUGAGAAUCCCGUCCACCGAUUGACUAAGGUUUCCAGAGGAAGGCUCGUCCGCUCUGGGUUAGUCGGGUCCUAAGCUGAGGCCGACAGGCGUAGGCGAUGGAUAACAGGUUGAUAUUCCUGUACCACCUAUAAUCGUUUUAAUCGAUGGGGGGACGCAGUAGGAUAGGCGAAGCGUGCGAUUGGAUUGCACGUCUAAGCAGUAAGGCUGAGUAUUAGGCAAAUCCGGUACUCGUUAAGGCUGAGCUGUGAUGGGGAGAAGACAUUGAGUCUUCGAGUCGUUGAUUUCACACUGCCGAGAAAAGCCUCUAGAUAGAAAAUAGGUGCCCGUACCGCAAACCGACACAGGUAGUCAAGAUGAGAAUUCUAAGGUGAGCGAGCGAACUCUCGUUAAGGAACUCGGCAAAAUGACCCCGUAACU